rnacentral:rRNA from 1 species
UACGUAGGCAGCGAGCGUUGUUCGGAGUUACUGGGCGUAAAGGGUGUGUAGGCGGUUGUUUAAGUUUGGUGUGAAAUCUCCCGGCUCAACUGGGAGGGUGCGCCGAAUACUGAAGUGACUAGAGUGCGGGAGAGGAAAGUGGAAUUCCUGGUGUAGCGGUGAAAUGCGUAGAUAUCAGGAGGAACACCGGUGGUGUAGACGGCUUUCUGGACCGUAACUGACGCUGAGACACGAAAGCGUGGGUAGCAAACAGG